rnacentral:rRNA from 1 species
GAUGAACGCUGGCGGCGUGCCUAAUACAUGCAAGUCGAGCGAACAGACGAGGAGCUUGCUCCUCUAACGUUAGCGGCGGACGGGUGAGUAACACGUGGAUAACCUACCUAUAAGACUGGGAUAACUUCGGGAAACCGGAGCUAAUACCGGAUAAUAUAUUGAACCGCAUGGUUCAAUAGUGAAAGACGGUUUCGCUGUCACUUAUAGAUGGAUCCGCGCCGCAUUAGCUAGUUGGUAAGGUAACAUCUUACCAAGGCAACGAUGCGUAGCCGACCUGAGAGGGUGAUCGGCCACACUGGAACGGAGACACGGUCCAGACUCCUACGGGAGGCAGCAGUAGGGAAUCUUCCGCAAUGGGCGAAAGCCUGACGGAGCAACGCCGCGUGAGUGAUGAAGGUCUUCGGAUCGUAAAACUCUGUUAUUAGGGAAGAACAAAUGUGUAAGUAACUAUGCACGUCUUGACGGUACCUAAUCAGAAAGCCACGGCUAACUACGUGCCAGCAGCCGCCGUAA